rnacentral:lncRNA from 1 species
AGAAAGUAGAGCUGUGAAGGACUAGAAAGAGCUUAGGAGAGUCAAUGCCUCCAACCCGCUGCAAACAAGCCCGAAGCACCAUUGUCCCUCUGCAUGAGGCAGUGAGGUCCCUGCAAGUCACGGCUGCUGCAGGAGUGCACACAGGAUGGUGAGGUAGUCUGGCCCAUGACCCAGGGCCUGGUACAGCAGGGUCUUCGUUUCUCCCUGGCCAUCUGCACUUUCCUGUCCAUGGGCUGGAACAGUGACAGACAGAAGCUGCCUUUCCGGACCUCAGCAAAUGUGCUGGGGCAAGGCCAUGGACUAGGGCACCAGGAUCCUUCUGUGCCCCCAACAGAUUCCUUUCAUGAGCUCAGUGUCUCUGCCACCUGUCUGAGCAGCUCCUAAAUUAGCAGCUCAAACCUCCUCCACCACACAAAAGCCAGUCUGUGCAUCCUGUUCAGACAGUGGCUCUUUCCCGACCAUCCUUCUUAAAAAAGGCACCACUAAUCCCCAUCUCAUUGGAAACUUUACCUCCCUCUGCUUUUUCUCCAAAAUUCUCAGCACAGUCUACGUAAACUGUUCAUUUUAUAUAUUUAUGUCUCCAUCAUCCCCUCCCCACACUAGACUGGGAGCUCUGUGGGGGCACAGACGUAUCUGUUUUGAUUACCACCAUAUCCCACACAUCUAAAGCAGCGCCAGGGCACACAGUAGGCUCCUGAAUAUCUGCUGAAUGAAUGAACACAGAAAUGAGGAAGGUAUUUCCUGCAAGCAACCUCAUCUCAGUCGUCACAGAAGAAGCUGUCGUUGUGUAGAAACCCACGCACAAGAAGGUGCUAUCACUGCCCCACCCCUGUCCGUCCCUGCUACCAUCGAGGGUGUCUUUCAUUGUUGCAUUUUAAAUGAGAAAAGACAGUGUCUAACAUGAACAGAAGGAGCUCUAUCGUGGAUAUUUUAGGUCAGGGUGGGUGGGGGAGAUCAUUUUGAGCAGAGAGCUUUCCUGAGUGUCCAGGGGCCCACCUCCAUCAUCUGCCCCAGCCUCUAGCAGUAACAGUGUGAAAGAGCUCUCACAGGCUCUGUUGCAUGCCAGUAUAGAAGUCAUGGGGCUGCAUCGCACACCUAGAGGUAAACUCAUUUGCUGGGUGUGAUCAGAGCACCUGGCCACUGCAGCUCAACAGGUGAGCAAAUAAAUAGCAUGCCAUUGUUCCUCUUCCACCAAAGCCAUGAUUUCCUGGUUAGUUUGUAUUUGACAUCAAGGCCAAAUGACAAUAAUUUUUUUUUUUAAACUGGGUCUCACUCUGUCACCCAGGCUGGAGUGCAGUGGCGCAACCUCAGCUCACUGCAGCCUUGACCUCCCACGGUUCACAUGAUCCUCCCACCUCAGCCUCCCAAGUAGCUGGGGCUACAAGCACAUUCCACCACACCCAUCUAAUUUUUGUAAUUUUUUUUUUUUUUUGUAGCAAUAGGGUUUCACCAUGUUGCCCAGGCUGAUCUCGAACUCCUGGGCUCAAGCAAUCCACCAGCCUCAGCCUUCCAAAUUUCUGGGAUUACUGGUGUGAGACAUGCAGCCCUGGCCUCGACAGUCACUUUCAAAUUAUUUAACUUCUCUAGUGACCUAAUGGUUGAUCUUUUUAUUUUAUCAUGCUUAUACCGUCUCUCUAGUCUUAGGUAUAAUUUCUCUGCAGGACAUGUUGUUGUAGUAAAAGGAAGACCAUAAGAAGAUGACAAUGGCCAUGAGCACUACAGUGAAGCCCCACGGUGGUGUUGGUAAAGGAAGUUCCAAUAGCAGUUCAGUGUCUGCAGGUGGAGCACAAGAAGCCGGGACAACAAGCAGGUCCUCAGUCCUCAUGGCUUCCUCCCACGGUAGUUGUGAGGUCUAGGGAGGUCAUGCCACUCUCCCAGUGCCCAUAUUCUUGGCUAGUAAUACCAGUGUUAUGCUAGAGGCAGUCUGAUGUCUUUCGAAACGCACGUCUCAUCAAGACAAAGCAGCCUAUCUCUCAGGUAAUGUAGGAACUUGGAAAGAGGCAAUUAAAAGAUGACUCUAAGGCAGGGUGUGGUGGCUCACGCCUGAAAUCCCCACAUUGUGGGGGGCCGAGGCGGGUGGAUCACCUGAGGUCAGGAGUUGGAGGCCAGCCUGGCCAACAUGGUAAAACCCCAUCUCUACUAAAAAUACAAGAAAAUUAGCUAGGUGUGGCGUUAAGCACCUGUAAUCCCAGCUACUCAGGAAGCUGAGGCAGGAGACUCACUUGAACCAGGAGGAGGUGGUUGCAAUGAGCCAAGACUGCACCAUGGCACUCCAGCCUGGGCAACAGAGUGAGACUCCAUGGCAGGAAGAGAAGGGAAGGGAAGGGAAGGGAAGGGAAGGGAAGGGAAGGGAAGGGAAGGGAAGGGAAGGGAAGGGAAGGAAAGGGAAAGGAGAAGGCAGAAGAGAAAAGAGAAAGAAAGGAAAAGAAAGGAAAAUGAAAAGAAAAAAGAAAAGAAAAGACUCUAUGAGCCCUGAUGGUACUCUAAAUCAAAGUUCCUGAAGCCUGGAACACCAGAGCUUCCAUACAAGCUUUCCAUAGUUUGACCCAAAUUAAUAAUCAGAUCUGAAGUGUCAUUUAGAUGAACGUGGCAGCAGUUCUCCGGGAACCCCCUCUGAAGUCAGAUUUCACUGUCUGCUCUUAAGCUUGUUUCAAGAAAGGAAAUUGACCAUAAAAGCUCCUAUCCACUUCCUGAUGAUAAAGACAACUAUCCAGUCUUGGCUUUUACUGCAGUCAUUGCUAUUGCAUCAUUUCCAUUAAUCUUCUCAGUGGCCCAGGGAGAUUGGAGUGCCAUCAUUAAUUUGAAAAGUAAUAAAAGUUCUAGAUUGAGCCAUUUCCUGCAUUCUUAAAACAAGGAAUGUCUAUAUCUAACCUUCCACAUUCCCAAGGUCAACGUCACCAACUAUCUCCAGGUUAAGUCCAGGGAUCGGUCUCCGUCCCCAUCAGUGAGGCCCUGGCUGUCCCACCAAGUAUUUCCCAAGUAUUUCAAGGCUAUUCUUGAAACUGUCUUUCCAAAAUUAUGACUGAGACAGUGAAAGAUAUCUAACAAACGACUCCAUCUUGCUUCUAACCUCCAAGCUGUCCUUGUUCAUUCCUGGGUGUAGGCUGAACUAACUUUGGGAGAAACUUUAUAGUUUAAAACAAAGAUGAUAACAUCCCUUUCCCAAAGCCGACCUCUUUCUUGCCUGGGGACUAGAUUGCCUUUGUAGGACCAACAUUAGCCAAAAGAUGAGAAAUUAUGGUUUAGGAGUCAUGCAGCUGGAGGCUACAAGAUUCUGACCCUCCCUAAACUGCUCCUAAGAUCAGUGCUCUAGAUACCCUGCACUUGAUAGAUCAGCUGGCACCACCCAGAUCAAUAAACUGUCUCAUCUGAUCUUGUGGUCCCCACCCAGGAACUGAUUCAGCAUAAGAAGACAGCUCCAACUCCGUAUGAUUUCAUCUCUGAGCAGUCGGCACUCCUCCUGGCUCACUUGUUUCCCCCCAUCCACCAAGUUAUCCUUAAAAACUCUGUUCCCUGGAUGUUCAAGGAAACUGAUUUGAGUAAUAAUAAAACUCCAGUCAGUCCUUCACAGCCGGCUCUGCAUGAAUUCCUCUUUCUCUAUUGCAGAUCCCCUGUCUUGAUGAACCAGCUCUGAACCCACUGGGCAGUUACAUUGUUGGCUAUUUGCAUGUGCUUUCUUAGGAUUUCAUUUCCCUCUUCCUCUCCAAUUCUGCCACGAGCCUGAAACUGGACUUUUGAAAUUGCCUCCUAACUGGUCUUCCUGCCGCUGGUACCUCAUCUACAUACAUCUAGAAUGAUCUUCCUAUAGGACAAAUGGGAUCACUUCAAUCAUCUUAGUUCACUUUAAUGCUUAUUGAGCAAGGUCUGGUGGAUAUAAAAAGGGGAACCAGAGUGGCCGUGGUGGCUCAUGCUUGUAAUCCCAGCACUUUGGGAGGCCGAGGCGGGUGGAUCACAUGAGGUCGGGAGUUCGAGACCAGUCUGACCAACAUGGAGAAGCCCCAUCUCUACUAAAAAUACAAAAUUAGCCGGGUGUGGUGGCACAUCCCUGUAAUCCCUGCUACUCAGGAGGCUGAGAGAGGAGAAUCGCUUGAACCCGGGAGGCAGAGGUUGUGGUAAGCCGAGAUCGUGCCAUUGCACUCCAGCCUGGGCAACAAGAGCGAAACUCCGUCUCAAAAAAAAAACAAAAGGGUGGGGGUGGGGGAACCAGAGACAUCCCUAUUGUGAUGGUUAAUUUGAGUGUCAUCUUGAUUGGAUUGAAGGAUACAAAGUAUUGUUCCUGGGUGUGUCUGAGAGGGUGUUGCCAAAGGAGAUUAACAUUUGAGUCAGCGGACUGGGAGAGGCAGAUCCACCUUCAAUCCGGGAGGGCACCAUCGAAUCAGCUGCCAGCACAGCUAGGAUAAAAGCGGACAGAGGAACGUGGAAGCACUAGACUGGCUGAGUCUUCCAGUCUUCAUCUUUCUCCUGUGCUGGAUGCUUCCUGCCCUCAAACAUUGGACUCCAAGUUCUUCAGCUUUUGGACUCUUGGGCUUACACCAGUGGUUUGCCAGGGGCUCUCGGGCCUUCGGCCACAGACUGAAGGCUGCACUGUCGGCUUCCCUACUUUUGAGGUUUUGGGACUCGGACUGGCUUCCUUGCUCCUCAGCUUGCAGAUGGUCUAUUGUGGGACUUCACCUUGUGAUCACCAAUGAAGAGCCCUCGUGACUGGACCUCAUGCCAAACAACUCGCUACAAAAAGAGCUAGGUUCCCAGACUGCGCCGAAGCUUCAUGAGACCUCUCCUCAUCUGUGCACAGAGGAGUGGCCGACUCUGGAGCCCAGGCGGUCGCUUCCCGGUCUGGUGCUGAAUCCUCCAUAGUCUGACUGUGGAAAUAAUGUUAGACAAAAAGCAAAUUCAAGUGCUUUUCUUAUCCGAGUUCAAAAUGGGUUGUAAAGCAGCGGCGACAACUUGCGACAUCAACAAUGUAUUUGGCCUACUGUACUAAAAAACAUAUAGUGCAGUGGUGGUUCAAGAAGUUUUGCAAAGACGAGGAGAGCCUUGAAGAUGAGGAGUGUCGUGGCCAGCCAUCGGAAGUUGACAAAGACCAAUUGAGAGCAAUCGCAGAAGCUGAUCCUCUUACAACUACAUGAGAAGUUGCUGAUAACUCAACGACAACCAUUCUACAGUCAUUGGGCAUUUGAAGCAAAUUGGAAAGAUGAAAAAGCUCAGUAAGUGGGUGCCUCAUGAGCUGAGCAAAAAUCAAAAAAAUUAUUGUUUCAAAGUGUCAUCUUUUCUUAUUCUACACAACAGCAAGGAGUCAAUUCUUGAUCAGAUUUGUGACAGGCAAGAAAAGUGGAUCUUAUAUGACAACCAGUGACAACCAGCUCAGUGGCUGGACCAAGAAGAAGCUGCAAAGCACUUCCCAAAGGCAAUCUUGCACCAAAACAAGGUCGUGGUCACUGUUUGGUGGUCUACUGCUGGCCUGAUCCACUACAGCUCUCUGAAUCCCAGUGAAACCAUUAUAUCUGAGAAGGAUGCCCAGCAAAUCAAUGAGAUGCGCUGAAAACCUCAAUGCCUGCAGCCGGCAUUGGCCAACAGAAACAGCCCAAUUCUUCCCCAGGACAAAGCCCAACCACAUGUCCCACAACCAGUGCUUCAAAAAUUGAACAAAUUGGACUACAAAGUUUUACCUCAUCUGCCAUAUUCACACGACCUCUCACCUACCAACUACCACUUCUUCAGACACUUUGACAACUUUUUGCAGGGAAAACGCUUCCAUAACCAGCAGGAUGCAGAAAAUGCUUUCCAACAGUUCAUCAAAUCCCAAAGCAUGGAUUUUUAUGCUACAGGAAUAAACAAACUCAUUUCUCAUUGGCAAAAAUGUGUUGAUUGUAAUGGUCCCUAUUUUUAUUAAUAAAGAUGUUUGUGAACCUA